CUUGAUGGAGCCCAGCAGCAGCGGACGGUUCUCGUCACGGUUUCGGCCGUACGUCGCCAGCAGUGCCUGCGCCUC
rnacentral:antisense_RNA from 1 species